ACCUGCGAGCAUGGGGCCUGGGGAGGGCUGGGGCGCAGGCAGCCUGCCUCAGGGCCCUGCUGUUCACAGCUGAUGAAGAGCAGGGCCCAAGUGUCGGGGGCUCCCCAGCAGCAGCGGCCCGACGCGAGCGCCCGGUCUCCGCUGCCUCCCGCUAAUGAAAGCGUUACUCCACAAAGCAGCAAGAGAGCCAGGACUGCAAGGACAUAAUGACUUGGGAGAAGACACCAGGAGUGAAUGAUCUGGAGUCAUGUAGCCUUGGAUCCACUUUCUGGGGGACCUGAUGAGAGAUUCAGACCAGGCACCCGCACAGGGAGCUUCAAGCUUUCCAUCUGUAAAGCAGGGUGUGGCAGCCCCCCUUCCCAAGCCUUGGAGUUGAGAGCAGAAAUCCUGAGGCCACCUGCCAGAAGAAUGGCUGCUUGGACAGACCUGGCCUUCAGUUCCCCCAUCUGAGCUUUGUUUGGCCCACAUGCCUCACCUCCUCCACCCUCCCGCACCUGGCUGAUGACUUCUGCUCAGAAAGAGUCUCUGAGUUCGGGUUCUGCAAUACCGUGAUAUUGUUCUCUCUGUGGCAGGGAUACCCCCAAGGGAGUGUCCCUUGCUCUCCAUGAAACACAGGUGAAGGCAAGCCCCUGGGACUACUCAGGCAGUCCCUGUUGGAAUAGGAGGGGGAGGUGUCUUGGGGCCUUCAUUGUCUGAGGCACCCCUCCAGACAGAAUGUGGGUAAUAAAGUCAUGUUGA